rnacentral:misc_RNA from 1 species
ACACAAGUUUCGAGCAAAGAAAUGUAAACAUUACAACCAGUAUAGUAGAGAUUUCAUCCCUAGAGAGAGUGUCCACGUGAAGGAAGGUCACUGUCACGAUGAUCAGACUAAACUGAACCGUCUAGAAGAUGUCCGGAGAUUGAUGCAUGAAAAGAAACUUGACGCUUACAUAAUUUGUAAUGUCAACGAAAAUCUGGGUAAACUAAAACCACAUGACAGAAGACUGGACUCAAUUUCCGGCUUUUCUGGAAGAAUAGGUACAGCAGUGAUAACACUAGACAAGGCGGCUCUAUGGACAGAUGGAAGAACAUUCCAGUCAGCCAUUGAUGACGUCGAUUGUGGUUGGACUAUUUACAGAAAAGGUGGCAGCAAUUCAACUUCCUUGGUUGACUGGGUUUAUGACAACACUGUGGACGGUUCUUCCGUUGGAGCAUGCCCAUAUUUGACGAGCUUAGUUUGGUGGGAGAAUUUUCAAACUAUUUUCAAAGAAAUGAGCAUAAAAUUUAUUCCUGUUUAUGAAGAUCUUAUUGAUUUGAUAUGGACAAAGAAUAGAGCACCACUGCCUAAUUCGCAAAUAUACAUUCAACCAUUGCAAUUUGCAGGUGAAACCUGGCAAGCUAAAAUAAAUCGGACGAUACAAAAGAUGGCAGAAAGAGAUGCUGAUGUUCUUGUACUAACAAACUUGGACGAAAUUGCCUGGCUUUUUAAUCUUAGAGCGAGAGAUUUUCCUUUUGAUCCAUAUUUUAUUUCGUUUUGCAUUAUAAAUGCAAAGAAUGGUGUUAUAAGGUAACGUACCAAUUUAUAUCUUCUAAAUCUUUUGUAAAGACUGUUCUUAAAAUAUAACUUGAGUAACAUUUUUCUGACCAAAUGACAUGCUUAUAUUUUUUUUCUCACACGUGUUUUUUAGUCUCUAUCUUGUAAACGCCGAAGAAAGGCUAGCGAGCACCGUUGAUUCUUCAGGCUUGAGAUUGUAUCAGUUUUUGAACACAUCUGUAGUUGGCACGUGUGUUCGUCCUACAUGCAAAAAGAACACUCGAAUUUACACAAACGGUAAUAUGGAUACAUGUGAAAAAAUAAACAACAUUGCAACAGAACCAGUUCAUAGGACACUCUGCGUAGAUGUCCGAGAAUACAACCCGAGUACGUUCAAAGAUGACGUUAGUAAAGCGUCACGUGACAACCGUGUUCGAAAAGUAUGGGUAUCCUGGAGCUGCAGUGAAGCAUUUGCAGAAGAAAUUCCACAGGUAAAAUGAUUCCACCUCAAAUUUUGAAAAGAUACUUAAAUUUCAAGUAAUUGUAAAAACAAUUUCUUUUCUUAAUUAUAAAUUAAAGAUACAUUUUAUCAUUUAGUUUUUAAAGAAACAAAUAUCUUGUUACAGGAAAAACUGAUUUUGGAUCACACACCUCCUAUGGCACUCAAAGCAGCAAAGAACGAAGCAGAGCUUGAAGGAAUAAAAAAUAGUACGUUACGGGACUCGGUAUUUCUAACAACGUAUUUUGCUGGGUUAGAAAAAAGGAUGAAAAAUGGCGACACUUUGAUCACAAAAGAUCUGGAAGUGGAGAUCAAGAAACUCAGACAGUGGGUGACUGAAUUUUAAAAUUUGUUUUUUAUCAUUUUUUUUUAAUUUCCGAUAACUUAAAUUGUUAUGGUAGAGUGCAUUAGCAAAAUUAUUACAUUUUCCUUUAACUAGCAAUUUAAAUCGGAUACUAUUUUAAUUAUGAAUAAAUUGUUUUAAAACACUUUCUUCAGUCUUAAGAAUUAUAAAAUGUUACUUAUGACAUUCAUUACUGCUGCACUUAUUUUCAAUCUCGAUGACUUAACCUAAAAAAGAACAAUUUCUUAAAACACUAGGAACGAGUUAUAUAACAAUGGUCCCAGUGGUGUGUCCUUGCUUGGAUCCGGACCGAUGACGCAACAUCUAUUCCCUAAAAUUACAGAUGAUAUCGUCACAGAAAACGAUAUUUUCCUCUUUGACAUGGGAUCACAAUAUCUUGAUGGUACAACAGACAUUGCUCGUUGUUUUGUGUUUGGAACACCUAAUGAAAGACAAAAGGUAAGGGUAUUUUAACGUUCUCCGGUCCCAGUAUCAUGGAGCAGUCUGGGACAUAUUUUAUUACAAAAACACGCAAACAUUACUUUGUUGACAAGAUUUUGUUUCUCUGUCCUUUAUCGGAUUGUUGACCAUUUCUAGCGUCAGUCUUUUGUUAUUACGUAUUUAUUGAGAGAAAGAAAACUCUCAGCACAGAUUUCUCCUUGAUCCGGGAUAAUGUUUUUAUACACUAUACACCAAUCAUACUUAUUAAGAUAAAGUUUAUGUGCCUUGUUUUGUGUAUAAUUCUCAAAAUAUUUUCAAAAGCAUUAUGUUCCAUCGUUACAUUAAGCCCUGAAUGUUGCAGGACAUCUAUACACGUCUAUUGAUGACUCAAAUCAACUUGGCCAUGAAGACAUUCGAAGCUGGUACCACUGGUCGAGAUUUGGAUUCAGAUGAUGUACGAGAACCCCUACGUGAAAUAGGGGUACAUUUUCCUCAUGAAAUAGGUCAUAUGCUAGCUGCUCACGGCGCAAUAGUAGAAGGUCCGGCCUUGAUCUCCAACAUUACAGAGGAUUGGCGGAGUGACGUACCCAGAGACAGACAUAUCUUUGAAUGUAGAAAAUGCAAGAAGCCCCAAGAUGUAGCGAAGAUCCCAAAUUGGUCAGAGUAUGUGUUGGAAGAAGGCAUGGUUUUUUCAAAUGAGCCAAGUUUCUACGGCAAAGGAGAAUUUGGCAUGAGACUCGAGAACACGAUGUUUAUUACCACGGGACAAUGUGAAAAGCCAUGUUUUGCCUUCAGACAGUUGGUAUUUCUGCCAUACGAGCCCAAUCUUAUAAAACCAGAAUUGUUUUCAGAUCAUCAGAAGUCGUGGUUAAAAGACUAUUAUGGAAUGAUUGAACAACUCGUUAUUCCUCAACUGCAAGCCAGGAACGAUUCUACAGCUAUUGCGUGGCUUCUGAACAGAACAAAUGUCACUUUUCUUAAUAAUUAAGAUCAAUAAAAAGGUUUUUUAUUUGG